GGACUCGUAACUCAGUGGUCAGAGUAGGGUGCUCAUAACACCUCGGUCCUCGGUUCGAAUCCGAGCGGGUCCA
rnacentral:tRNA from 1 species